AUUCCAGAUUUUGUAAUUGUUGUUUUCUUAUAUGAAUUAUUUUGAAAAAUUCAGAGAACAGUCCAAUAUUUUUAAAGAAGAAGAUAUGCAAGUUCAAAUUCAAGGGACAAAUUGCAUAGUUACUAGAGCUAAUUCAGAAAUUGGUUAUGCAACAGGUGAGGAUCUCCCAAAACGGCUUGUUGGAUAUGAGUCUUAUAUUUGGAUGUUUUUCUGAUACAUUGUGUUUUGCAGAUUUUAUAUUUAUUGAUUUGAUAUUUUUCUUUCUUUUCUAGUGGGGGGAAUGUGUAUAUGACUUGCCGUGUUAAAGAAAGAGAAGCUACCUUACUGAAACUCAAUUUGACACAGGGAAUCAGAAUGUCUUCAUAGAGGUAUUACUCUAUGAGAAUGUAAUUAUGAACUUUUUCCCUCAUUCUGUAAUUGUUUGAGUUCAUAACUAUGCUUACAAAAUGAUGCUGUAAAUUCUUUUAAUACAUAUGCAGUCUGGUGAUAGCCCUAGGGGUGGCAAAAUGACCCGCAACCCGUUAACCCGACACGAACCCGACCUGAGAUAAACAGGUUUGGGUUUAGUCUUAUCGGGUUUUCGGGUCAUUUUGACCCGAACUUGUUAGACCCGUUUAUAAACAGGUCAGGUUCGGGUUUGACCACUAACAGGUCGGGUCAACUCGAAACCCGUUAAAAAUUAAUAUUUUUUAUUUUAAGUUUUGAAAUCAUCUCUCUAUCCCUCCUUUUUCAUCUCUCAACAAUCGUUUUCUUUCUUCUUCUUUAACUAUGUAGAAAUAUAUAGUAGUAAUGAAUUCAUUAUUAAAAACUUGUUUGUUGGUGGUUCUUAUUUUUCUAUAUCAAAGUUAGAGAUUGUGUGAAUAUUUUUCUUGUUUUUCAAUUGAUUUGUUUUGGGUUUAAGGAGCAUGAUGUUUUAAUUAAUCAAUUGAAACCAGAUCGGUGUUUUUUUAUUUUUAAAACUCAAGUUUGAUGCUCCUAAUUAUGUUUAUAAUUGGCUUUAAUGUUAACAUUUUUCAUCUCUAUGCUCUUUAUAGUAAUUGUUUAUUUUACCGCCCCCUUAUUUUUCAAGAAUAUUUUUUUUAAUUUUGUCUUUUACUAGUAGUUUUAAUUUUUGAUGAAAUUAAGUUGAUUAAUUUAUAUUAAAUAAAUCUGAAGCGGGUUUAAACAGGUUAACCCGAAUCCGACCUGUUUAUUAAACAGGUCGGGUUCGGGUUUAGAAAAAAAUACUAAACAGGUUAACAGGUCAGGUUCGGGUUUAGAGAGAAAACACAUCAACCCGUUAAGACCCGACACGAAUCUGACACGACCCGACACGAUUGCCACCCCUAGGUGAUACUGCAUUUUUGUAGUAAUAUAUAAUAUUAGAUUGUAUGAAUAGUAUCUACAUGUGGGGACUUCUAUCCUCUUGUAGUUAUUUCCAUAAU
rnacentral:lncRNA from 1 species